rnacentral:rRNA from 1 species
CCUACGGGAGGCAGCAGUGGGGAAUAUUGCACAAUGGGCGAAAGCCUGAUGCAGCAACGCCGCGUGAGGGAUGAAGGCCUUCGGGUCGUAAAGCUCUGGCCUCAAGGAAGAGAAUGACGGUACUUGAGGAGGAAGCCCCGGCUAACUACGGGACAGCAGCCGCGGUAAUACGUCGGGGGCGAGCGUUAUCCGGUAUUACUGGGCGUAAAGGGUGCGUAGGUGGUUUCUUAAGUCAGAGGGGAAAGGCUACGGCUCAACCGUAGUACGCCUUUGAAACGGGGGAACUUGAGUGCAGGAGAGGAGAGUGGCAUUCCUCGUGUAGCGGUGACAUGCGUAGAUCUUAGGAGGAACCCCAGUUGCGACGGCGGCUCUCUGGACUGUAACUGACACUGAGGCACGAACGCGUGGGGAGCAAACAGGAUUAGCUACCCGGGUAGUC